GGAAGUUGGGAGAAGGGUGAGGUGAUGAGUUCAAGAUUUUUUUAUGUUGAUUCGGCUGAUCUGGCUGGCUAGGCGGGUGUCCCCUUCCUCCCUCACCGCUACAUGUGCGUCCCUCCCGAAGCUGCGCGCUCGGUCGAAGAGGACGACCAUCCCCGAUAGAGGAGGACCGGUCUUCGGUCAAGGGUGUACGAGUAGCUGCGCUCCCCUGCUAGAACCUCCAAACAAGCUCUCAAGAUUUUUUUAUGUUAUUUCACUUUAGAAUUGUGCUGUAUUUAGGGUGACUGUACAUCCUGGUUUAUAUCUGUUGUGCCAACAUAGUUAUUAA
ensembl:misc_RNA 7SK 7SK RNA